rnacentral:sRNA from 1 species
CAUUCGUUUACUCUUUUUAAUUAUAAUAAAAUAACUUGGACAAAAAAUGCUCAGGUCGGGUUCAAUGCCGGUGAUGGAGUUAACUAUUUUUCCGUUCCGGGAUCCAUCACAGACGCUGUUUUGAAUUUACCACAGAUGUCCAACAUAGACGUUCCUGGCAAAUUUGUAUUUCGAUUGGACCAAAAUACAAUAUCAAAUGCAGACAUUGUUGAUGAAUGUGAGAGCUCGCCUUGUAUUCAUGGAAAUUGCUCCAACAAAUAUCUUCUUUAUGAGUGUAAUUGUGAACCUAGAUAUGUGGGGAUUAAUUGUGAAGAUAUCGAUGAUUGCUACAGUUCGCCAUGUGUUCAUGGAAGCUGUAUAGAUGGUAACAACUCCUAUACAUGCCAGUGCGUUGGGGGAUAUGCGGGGACAAAUUGUGAAAGUGAUAUAGAUGAAUGUGAAAGCUCUCCAUGUGUACAUGGAAAUUGUACGGACCAAGUUAAUGGAUACCUUUGUGAGUGCAUAUCUGGUUACACCGGAGUCAGUUGUAAUAUAGAUGUAGACGAGUGUGGAAGCUCUCCUUGUUUACAGGGAAAUUGCACUGAUCAAGUCGAUGGUUAUGUUUGUGAGUGUUUUCCUGGUUACAGGGGACCAAACUGUGACACAGAAAUAGACGAAUGUGAAAGUUCUCCCUGUAUACAAGGAAAUUGUACGGACCAAGUCAAUGGUUACCUUUGCGAAUGUAUUCCUGGUUUCAGGGGAGCCAACUGUGAUACAGAUAUUGAUGAAUGUGAUAGUUCACCGUGCAUUUUUGGAAACUGUUCUGAUGGUAUCAACCAAUACACAUGCCACUGUUCUGCAGGGUACUCGGGAACAACUUGCGAAUAUGAUAUAAAUGAGUGUGAAAGUUCUCCUUGUGUACAUGGAAGUUGUACAGACCAAGUCAAUGGCUACGUCUGUGAGUGUACACCUGGUUACAUUGGUGUCAGCUGUAAUAUAGAUAUAGACGAAUGUGAAAGCCCUCCCUGUGUGCAGGGAAAUUGUACGGACCAAGUUAAUGGAUACGUCUGUGAAUGCUAUCCUGGUUUCACCGGAAUCAACUGUGAUACAAAUAUUGAUGAAUGUGAAAGUUCACCGUGCGUUCAUGGAAACUGUUUUGAUGGUGUUAACCAAUACACAUGUCAAUGCUUUCUGGGAUUUACAGGGACAAAUUGCAGAACUGAUAUAGACGAAUGUGAAAGUUCUCCCUGUGUACAGGGAAAUUGUACAGACCAAGUUAAUGGAUACCUUUGUGAGUGUAUUCCCGGUUACAUUGGUGUCAACUGUGAUACAGAUAUAGACGAAUGUCAGAGCUCGCCAUGCAUCCACGGAAACUGUGUUAAUGGUAUCAACCAAUACACAUGUGAAUGUUUAACACCAUAUAUUGGAGCAAAUUGCACAACUGUCAACCCCUGGAUUUUUUGGCCUACAGUGUCGGGUUCUCUUUUACUUUUUAUGGUAUUUGUGCCUUUUCUUCUUUGGUGUAGACCAAAAGGCAACAAAGAUAAAGUUCAUUUCAAAGACCUAUCAUUUGGACCUGCUAGAACAGAGUUUAGAAUACCCAGGCCGGUGGUUCACUAUCAAUAUUCGAGUGAGCAGAAAUUCUACAGUGUAUACUUUUAA